UCAGACCUUCGGUAUUUGGAAGUGAAGAACCUAGCAAGUUAAAGCUAACAGCAUGUCAGUACAUCUUCAUAACCUUAUAGUGAGGAAUUGAGACUAGAUCUCUCCCUUCCUCCCUUUCUCUUUGAAGAAGGGUGAGUGAUGCAUGUAUGAGAAGUUCUGCUGCAAAAAUGACAGAGGCCAAAUGGUAAGUAAUUCAAGAAGAGGGUCCCUUUAUGUACACACUGAUAAUUAAUGUUGUCAGUGAUUGCUUUCUUCAGCACUGAAGUCUGAAUUAAAAAAGGCAGUGCCCUUAGGUUCCCAUUAGCACACUCUCUUGCAGUAAGUGUUACGGUAAAUUGGUAUUUUCCAGCUAUAGGCAAAGAGUUGGUGUCUUUGCUUCUUCCCAUCCUCCCCUCAGUGUGAUUAAUCUGUAAUGGAGUCAAAUAAUGUACACACACUAACGAAGCUUGAAUGUUCAUCUGUUAACAAGCCCCCUUGUUCCCACAGUGGUAUUUGAGUCUAAUGGACUCCGAGGUACUGAAGUUCACACCACCUCCGCAGAUGCCCCAAAACAAGUGAGAGACCAUUCCAAUGCAGAUAUUGUCCGUACAGUGCCUCUCAGAAAGGGAACCUAAAAACGCAUGUCCAGUGUGUACAUCGGGUCCCCUUUGACAACAGCCAGUACCCUGACCUACGGUUCCCAUCACCUCCAAAUAAUUACUCCAUCAACCCUUUAGAAGGCCAGCUGGAAAACAUCUUUACAAUCUCUCCAGUCCCUGGAGCAACUGUGUUAUAGCGAAGACUCCGGCUCCGUGCUUUGCUAGAAGAGUGAUGUCUCUGAACUGUUAAUCAUUUUAAAAUAAAUGAAGACCCUACCCAAGAUAUAUACAAAUUGACAUAGUAAUCAGUCCCCACAGUUCCUUAUUUCCUUUGUAAUAAACAGAAGAGCUGGCAAGCUUUGGGGUAGUGCAAAGCAUAUAUAUUAAUCAAGAUAACAUUUUUUUUUUUAGACACUGGAAAAAAUUAAACGUCAUAUAUUUGGAGGAUGGCACUGCAACCAAAUCUUCCCUCGUGGUGGGUUUGAAGUUUUAUUUUUUAUUUAAAAGGAAACACACACCCAGGGUGGAUUUGGGAAAUGCGGGAAGGAGUGAUUAAGCAACUGUCACGCAACUUUGAAAACAAAAAACAAAAAGGAGGAAGGAAGGAAGGAGUCGUUCAGUGCUGUAUAAGCCAAACUUGAUGAAGGACAGAAGGGACAAAAGGGAGAGACCAUCAUUCUGCAGUGAGGUUGUUUCAUGAUAGUUUGGGGACCACUUCCAUUUCCAGUGGGCUGAUCCUUGACUGCACACCAUUAAUAGUACAUGAAUAUGGAAAUUGAAAACACUUCUUAAGAAAUGCUUCUCUUCUCACUUUGGCAAGAAGAAGAAAAAAAACAGCUGGUCAAACACUAAGAAGAAAAAGAAAAAAAAGGCUUCUGUGUGUGUGGUUUUUUUUUUUUUUUUUGCUCCCCCUCUCAGGGCCUUCCUGUUUGUUUAAUCUGCUUUUUCUUUCUUUUAAAAUGCAGUUUUCCAUGAUCUAUCACAAAGGAAGUAUGCAUGCUUUUAAAAAUUAGAUUAAAAAGGGGGGGACCCCUCCCAGCUUUUUAAAGCUGCUGAUUGAUACACUUAUAAUACAUUUUAAAAACAGAUGUUUAGGCAUACUUCUGGUUUUACGAUACUGGAGAUGACUGCAUUUCUGUGCAGCAAGACCAAGUACCUUUCAUGGACCCUUCUAACCUUUUUUUUGCCGGGGGGGGGGUGUUCUCUUCUUUGUGAUGGCAAGCUUCCCUAAUCUAGUGUUUUCUAGAUGAGCUGGAAUUUCCCAGAAGAUUCUAGAAAGCCUGGCUGUUGGCCAUGGAUGGCUUGGACUUCUGGGAAGUGCAAACUCAGCAAGUUUGAUGGCACAGGGUGAUUCGGCAUGGUAGUCACUGGAGUAGCUGGGGGAGAAAAGGCGCUUUAUAUACCUCUUCUACAGUAACUUUUUAAAAUGCAAGUUUUUAAAGGUAAGAGAAGCAGCAGGUUGUUCACACAGGGUCUUGUUCAAAAGUAUAUCCCACAUGUACUUUUUCCUUCUCUUGCUAUGACACUGUGUGACGGUAAUAAUUCAGAAUUUCAGAUUUUGCACAUAAACAAUUUUAUGCAUCAUCAUCGUCAUCAUCAAGAAAAAAAAAUGCUGCCUUGAACAUAUUUGUGAAUGUUUUUCUUUUGCAAAAAAAAAAAAAGCUUUACUAGUUUUUUUUUAAUUGUAACAUUUUUGUAAAGGCAGGAAAUGGAUUUUUAAAGAAAACUAGCAUGCUAAUUAUAUUUUUCAAAAAAAGCAAUAAUUUUACAUGUACAGAAAUAGCACUAAUCUUUUAAUACUGAUGGAGAGCAACCAUUUACUUCUACAAUAAUGGGAUAGUGCUUUUUUCUCUCUAGAAGACGGGGUUACUCAAAAGAUUUUUUUAAUAUGUAUUUUUUUUUUCCUAUUCUGAUUUUGUGUUGUCUAUAUUUGAAUUGGGAUUCUACUUGUUGCAAGUUACUUGACUGUUCUUGCUUUGCUGUUAACUAUAAUGCAGUUGUAAUAUUCGUAUAUAAUUUGCCAGUUUGGAAUUUUUAUUUUAUUUUAUUCCUCAUACUUCUGCACCAGCUGUAAGCCAGCUGUAACUCUGGAUUAGUAUAAAAUGUCUGUGCAGAUGUUGUGUAACUGAUUAAUCUGUUUUGAAGUUACCUUGCAGAAAUUCACACAGACAUAUUCCAGACCUCCCUUUUUCUGUCUCCUGCAUCACACUUCAUCCUCAUUUCCUUCAUAUCAUCUAUUUUUAUGAAUCAGAUGACACCAAAAUAUCCCUAACUGGUCAAUUAGGGAUCCAUAAUCAAGUGCUACAUUUUCCUCCUUCAAUCACUUAUUUUUGCUUAUUUUAAGUAAACAAGUGAGGAUUCAGGAAUGCCUGCAGGUAAUUUCUUUGUCCAAAAUUCUGUGUAUCCACGCCCACCCUAUUAUUUGAGUGUCCCAUACAACUAUCACAAUCUUCGUUGCUUGAUUUAUGUGUGUAUUUUAUUUUUGAAUCAUGCUUGGUGAGUGGUGUCUUUGAUUUCAUUAAUUCUUUAUUUUUAAUAAUAUUUUUUGUCUUUGCGAACUGAUCUAGAAGGAUCUUAGUUAUUAUUUAGAGUUUCAGAGCUUUUCCUGAAGAUUGUCUGACACACAAAGAGGAAAGGACUGUCAUUGCCAUUACUAGGGUACUAAUCAGCAAAGUUUACAAUCAUCAUUUAGCUUCACGAAGAACAACAGCAGGGGAAAUCAGUUUAAAUAAUUAUAUGCUGUGUAUAGCACAGAAAUGAGAUUUUCACUUAAUUAAACAAGAAAUGGGGAGGGAGAAGGGGAGCUGUCAUUAAAGACCACCAUAUUACGUGUGAAUUCCAAGCUUUGUAAUUUUCCUCGUUUCUCAUCCAUAUUGUAUCAAUUUGUUAAUUCAGUUAGAUCCUAGUGUUUAGUAUGAUUUGUGCUCCUUAUUUAUUUAGCUAUUUGGGUUUAAAGUAGCUUUUUUUUUUUUGAAAAAAAAAAGAGGAAACAUGAUAAUUUUGUAGCAUGACACAUUUUUGUAAGCCAUCUUCUGACUGUUACAGCGACUCUGCUACCUCUGUCAAUCUGUUUCUUUUCCUUAACAGGUUUUCUACAGUGUUUCAGUCUAAUGUACCUUAGACAAUAAAGGUUCCAUAAUGAGCAGUGCAGAUGGUGUCUGAGA